rnacentral:tRNA from 1 species
GGAGAUGUAGCUCAAUGGUAAAGCACAUGCCUGGUGGGCACAAGGUACUGGAUUUGAUUCCCAGCACCACCA